rnacentral:rRNA from 2 species
CCUAUGCCGGAUUAGCUUGUUGGUGGGGUAACGGCCUACCAAGGCUACGAUCCGUAGCUGGUCUGAGAGGACGAACAGCCACACUGGGACUGAGAUACGGCCCAGACUCCUACGGGAGGCAGCAGUAUGGAAUAUUGGACAAUGGGCGAAAGCCUGAUCCAGCAAUGCCGCGUGUGUGAAGAAGGCCUGCGGGUUGUAAAGCACUUUCGAUUGGGAAGAAAAGCUUAGAGUUAAUACCUCUGAGUCUUGACAUCAGCAAUAGAAGAAGCACCGGCUAACUCUGUGCCAGCAGCCGCGGUAAUACAGAGGGUGCGAGCGUUAAUCGGAAUUACUGGGCGUAAAGCGUGCGUAGGUGGUUGAGUAAGUCGGAUGUGAAAGCCCAAGGCUUAACCUUGGAAUUGCAUUCGAUACUGCUGAGCUAGAGUACAGUAGAGGGAAGCG